AUUCUGGCUCAGGAUGAACGCUGGCGGCGUGCUUAACACAUGCAAGUCGAACGGGAUCCAUCAGGCUUUGCUUGGUGGUGAGAGUGGCGAACGGGUGAGUAAUGCGUGACCGACCUGCCCCAUACACCGGAAUAGCUCCUGGAAACGGGUGGUAAUGCCGGAUGCUCCAGUUGAUCGCAUGGUCUUCUGGGAAAGCUUUCGCGGUAUGGGAUGGGGUCGCGUCCUAUCAGCUUGACGGCGGGGUAACGGCCCACCGUGGCUUCGACGGGUAGCCGGCCUGAGAGGGCGACCGGCCACAUUGGGACUGAGAUACGGCCCAGACUCCUACGGGAGGCAGCAGUGGGGAAUAUUGCACAAUGGGCGCAAGCCUGAUGCAGCGACGCCGCGUGCGGGAUGACGGCCUUCGGGUUGUAAACCGCUUUUGAUCGGGAGCAAGCCUUCGGGUGAGUGUACCUUUCGAAUAAGCACCGGCUAACUACGUGCCAGCAGCCGCGGUAAUACGUAGGGUGCAAGCGUUAUCCGGAAUUAUUGGGCGUAAAGGGCUCGUAGGCGGUUCGUCGCGUCCGGUGUGAAAGUCCAUCGCUUAACGGUGGAUCUGCGCCGGGUACGGGCGGGCUGGAGUGCGGUAGGGGAGACUGGAAUUCCCGGUGUAACGGUGGAAUGUGUAGAUAUCGGGAAGAACACCAAUGGCGAAGGCAGGUCUCUGGGCCGUUACUGACGCUGAGGAGCGAAAGCGUGGGGAGCGAACAGGAUUAGAUACCCUGGUAGUCCACGCCGUAAACGGUGGAUGCUGGAUGUGGGGCCCGUUCCACGGGUUCCGUGUCGGAGCUAACGCGUUAAGCAUCCCGCCUGGGGAGUACGGCCGCAAGGCUAAAACUCAAAGAAAUUGACGGGGGCCCGCACAAGCGGCGGAGCAUGCGGAUUAAUUCGAUGCAACGCGAAGAACCUUACCUGGGCUUGACAUGUUCCCGACAGCCGUAGAGAUAUGGCCUCCCUUCGGGGCGGGUUCACAGGUGGUGCAUGGUCGUCGUCAGCUCGUGUCGUGAGAUGUUGGGUUAAGUCCCGCAACGAGCGCAACCCUCGCCCUGUGUUGCCAGCACGUCAUGGUGGGAACUCACGGGGGACCGCCGGGGUCAACUCGGAGGAAGGUGGGGAUGACGUCAGAUCAUCAUGCCCCUUACGUCCAGGGCUUCACGCAUGCUACAAUGGCCGGUACAACGGGAUGCGACACGGCGACGUGGAGCGGAUCCCUGAAAACCGGUCUCAGUUCGGAUUGGAGUCUGCAACCCGACUCCAUGAAGGCGGAGUCGCUAGUAAUCGCGGAUCAGCAACGCCGCGGUGAAUGCGUUCCCGGGCCUUGUACACACCGCCCGUCAAGUCAUGAAAGUGGGUAGCACCCGAAGCCGGUGGCCUAACCCUUUGUGGAUGGAGCCGUCUAAGGUGAGACUCGUGAUUGGGACUAAGUCGUAACAAGGUAGCCGUACCGGAAGGUGCGGCUG
rnacentral:rRNA from 1 species